rnacentral:lncRNA from 1 species
CUAGCUACCCCGUUCCCCUCCCCCUGGUCUUCAUCGUUCAGAUCCGCCCGCGAUUUCCACCGCCCGCCAUGGCCGACCUCGUCCUCGUGCCCACCGAGCUCUCCGGCACCUGAGACCUCGUCCAUCUUCUCCCUCAUCGUCCACCACUUCGUCUACGUCCACGAAUCGAGCUGGAACGCGCCGAGUCGAGCGGAACGAGAUCUUCUUCCACUCCGGCCACCGCGGCGCCAUCGUCGAUUCCGGCGCCCUCUGCUGCUCCUAAACCUCACAACGAGCCUCCUUGUGCUCCUCGGUGAGCACCGCGUGCUCCCCCUCCUCCUACCCCUCCAUAUCUAGCGCCGUAGAACUCUGCCCGUGCCGGGUUGCGCCUCGAAUGAACGCGUUGCCCCGCUCCCGGCCGCCCCUGUUAGCCCCGGCCCCGAGCCGCUCGCACCGUCCGCCCGCGAUGGCCUCGCCGUCGUCAGCCCCGCCGUCGCCCUGCUCGCCGUUUGCCGUUGCUGGUGUUGCUCCCGCCGAUAGUCACUGCUGCUGUUGCUACCGCGCACGGCCGCCGCAGCCACGCCCGAGCGCCAUGGCCGCCCCUGGCCUCGCCUCCAAGUGCCGCAUGCCGCACCCGCGGCUGCAGCCGCCCGCAGCGUUGCUGCUGCUCCACCGCAGCCCCGCGACGCCGCUGCCCCCUGCAGGUCGCCACAUCUCGCUGCAGCCGCCGCCUUGCCGUAGCUCCCCGCCCGUGACCUGCCUAGCGUCGUUGUUGUCUGCUGCUCUGCUACUGCUUGCCGCUGCUAUUUUCUGCUAGUUGCUGCUGCCCGUAGUUGCCUUGCUGCUGGUAAUUACUAUAGGUAUGGUUAGCUUUAUGAAUUUUACAUUGAGUAACCCCCUUGGCAGCCUAUAAUCAGCAGUUAAACAACUGCUAACAGGGGUAAAGAUAAUAUGAGUAGGUAGUCUACUUGACAAACUCCAUUUUACCUCACUAGACCAAAUCCAUCUGAUGAAUAGAUUAAAUCCUACAAAAAUCACAAAAUGACAUCUUAUGUUAAUAACUCCUAGCCUACUAACUUGUGUGUCCUGUGUGUGUGCGUCGUGCACGUGGCCGGAGUAGUGGCCGGCCCUUGCUUAGACUAUUAGGUGUUAAUUAAUGGCUAGAAUUGUCUAUGUACAGAUGACAUGUGGCCUCUUAUUUUUAAAAGCCUAGUUAAUAGUGUGUGCCAAUGACAAGUAGGGCCCGGUGCACUGUUUAUUGGUUGACUAGUAAGGUGUUGACUGAGUCAACCCAGCUCCUUGACACCACAUGUCAUUGAGUGUGACUAGUCCCCUGUUGCGUUAAAAAAACAUUUCACUGUUUAUAAUUUGAAUUAAAAAAAUUAAAAAAAUCCUUUAAACUUUAGAAAUUAAUAUAAAAUAAUCCGUUGCUCGGAUGAAAAAGUUUUCUACAUGAAAGUUGCUCAGAAUUUCGAGACGAAUUCAAAUACGCAGUCCGUUCGUUUGCCACACGUCUCUAGCAUAGCAAACCUGCAAGCUUUCCCUUUCGGUUCAUCUGUCUGACUCACGUCCGGGACCGAGAAAACUUUCCCGGAUGUUUCUCCCUUCGCCAGUAAAGCCUAGCACUGUGUUAGAACACCUCUAGCCCCGCUUGUAAUCACGUUGUGCAUAUGUUUGCCUGUAUUUACUGUUUCUUCCCCCUCUUCUCUCAGGUAGACCCCGAGACCGCUGCUGAUGCCCCUGUGAUCGACUACGUCGACGACGACCCUUCUUCUGUUUCAGCGGAGCUUCCACGCAAGCCCCCCCUUUGAUCAUCCCAAUAUCGCCCAUUCUAUACUCUCAUGCUUGCAUUAGAUUUUGCUACUGAUAUUGUUUGCUCCUAUUCUAAUGCAUAGCCUGCUUUUGUACCUUCUUAUUGUUACCUACCUGUUUAUCCUAAACUGCUUAGUAUAGAUUGGUUAGUGAUCCAUCAGUGACCCCCACUUGUCCUUGUUGCCCCUGCUUCAUCAUCGACGCCUCGAUCAGCGUGAUCGACGACGAGAGCCUGACACCUCACAUCACAUCACGCCCUUUUAGUUGCUCGACUCUGCAGAGCUACUAUUGAGUGCCGAGGGUGAUCCCUCUUAAACGCACUCCUGAUGUUAAUUCUGUAUUGUAGCUAUUCGGUGUGGUCAUCGACGGUGGUUCCUCUUUCACCAUUCCCGAUAUGGCUCUGUCGUGCAACACCUCAAGUGUGAACCUCGAGGGUGGUUCCUCUUACAUUCACCUUGAUGAUUACAUCGAGUGGAAUCCUCCGAGGGUGAUUCCUUGGGUUUUCCCCUUGAUGUCUGGACGCACAGUUACCUUGAAUUUACUAGAGACCAUUGUGAAAGCCGAGCGGGCCCGGGGAGCACCCGUGCGAUGUGACAGUGGCGGCUGGCUGUUUAGCGAUAUCACCCGGGAGGGGGUGAUAGCUCCAGACUUGUCCCGACAGCCGUCACUCCUUCUAAUAAUGCACUAAUAGGUUUGGGUAUUUGUUCUGAGUUGGCCUUUGGCCUUUACGCACCAACCACCACGCGAGAAUAGUUAUGGGCCUCGACGUCGUAGUAUCAGCCGAAGCUUUGUCAGACGUCCAGUUCAGCAUUGCGGCACGGCCCGGUCGGCGCCCCAGUGGAGGUGGCCUGUAUCGCCCUGCACGUAACGACCCGGAGUGCACCGGGCGAUGGGCCCAGACCCCGGAGUGCUUAGGAUGUAGACCGGCGGGGACCUCUCUGCUGAGUCUAGGUCGGGCUGCGACGUGUUGAUCUUCCGAGGCCGGGCAUGACCCAGGAAAGUGUGUCCGGCCAGAGUGAUCGAGCGUGUUGGAAAACGUGGUGCACCCCUGCAGGGAAGAUUAUCUAUUAAUAGCCGUGUCCACGGUAACGGACGUUUAGACGUAUAUCCUGAUCUUAUACAACUAGAAAUGGAUACUUGAUAUAUGAUGGAUAUGUGGCUCCGGGAUUGCUUUCUCGCAGGGAGUCGAGGAAGGAUCUUUGGGCCUUAAUGUUACAACAUGCUUGUUAAUUAAACUGCUAUUCUUUACUCUUCUACAUGCUGCAAGAUGCUUGGAGCUACUUGAAGAUGCUAGUCUUCGAUAGGCUAGGCCUUCCCCCCUUAUUCUGGCAUUCUGCAGUUCAGUCCACAGAUAUAGCCCUUCCAUUUGAUACCAAUGCAUACUUAGUGUAGAUCUGAUGCUUGCGAGUACUUUGGAUGAGUACUCACGGUUGCUUUGUUCCCCCUUUUCCCCCUUCCUUCUCCUUUCCGGUUAAUGCAACCAGAUGGUGGCCCCCAGGAGUUAGAUGCCACCCCUGCCGACUACGACUACUACCCCGAGGGUGCCUACUACUACGUGGAGCCCGCUGACGACCAGGAGUAGUUAGGAGGUCCCAGGCAGGAGGCCUUGCCUCUUCGAUCGUUGAUGUUUGUGCUAGCCUUCUUAAGGCAAAACUUGUUUAACUUAUGUCUGUACUCAGAUAUUGUUGCUUCCGCUGACUCUUGUGCUUUCGAGCUAUGUAUUCGAGCCCUCGAGGCCCCUGGCUUGUAAUAUGAAGCUUGUAUGACUUUCAUUUGUGUCUAGAGUUGUGUUGUGAUAUCUUCCCGUGAGUCCC